rnacentral:rRNA from 1 species
CCUACGGGUGGCAGCAGUGGGGAAUAUUGCACAAUGGGGGAAACCCUGAUGCAGCGACGCCGCGUGAGUGAAGAAGGAUUUCGGUAUGUAAAGCUCUAUCAGCAGGGAAGAAAAUGACGGUACCUGACUAAGAAUCCCCGGCUAACAACGUGCCAGCAGCCGCGGUAAUACGGAGGGGGCAAGCGUUAUCCGGAUUUACUGGGUGUAAAGGGGGCGCAGACGGCGAGGCAAGCCAGGAGUGAAAGCCCGGGGCCCAACCCCGGGACUGCCCUUGGAACUGGGUGGCUAGAGUGCAGGAGGGGAAGGCGGAAUUCCUGGUGUAGCGGUGAAAUGCGUAGAGAUCAGGAGGAACACCGGUGGCGAAGGCGGCCUGCUGGACUACAACUGACGUUGAGGCCCGAAAGCGUGGGGAGCAAACAGGAUUAGAUACCCCAGUAGUC